rnacentral:lncRNA from 1 species
CUGAGGGGGACGCGCCCGGGGGGACACGCGUGCCGCAGACACCCCCUCAGCCUGGCCCCUCACGGCGCCGAUCGUGCUCCACCGACCCAGCCCGGACCGGGACGUGCCCUCGGGAAGGAGCCUUCCGGGUAGCAAAGCGGCGUGGGGACAGUGUGAUGGGCUCUGCAUUAUCUGUCCAUACUGUUGGGGUACACUUACACAGCGCUGCCAGCAGCAGGAAGUUGCUAAUGUGCUCGCUCGCGUGGUUGAAAAUGCCUUAAGGUUGUCCUGGUGCACGCUGACAUGUCUUACACCACUGUCUAGACGUGGCCAACAUUACUCUCAGCCGAGAUCGACACAGUCACGGAGACAGAGGAGGUGA